rnacentral:rRNA from 1 species
AGCUAGUUGGUGGGAUAACGGCCUACCAAGGCGACGAUGCGUAGCCGACCUGAGAGGGUGAUCGGCCACACUGGGACUGAGACACGGCCCAGACUCCUACGAGAGGCAGCAGUAGGGAAUCUUCCACAAUGGACGGAAGUCUGAUGGAGCAAUGCCGCGUGAGCGAAGAAGGUUUUCGGAUCGUAAAGCUCUGUUGUGAGGGAAGAACAAGUACGGGAGUAACUGCCCGUACCUUGACGGUACCUCAUUAGAAAGCCACGGCUAACUACGUGCCAGCAGCCGCGGUAAUACGUAGGUGGCUGUCGACGCGGCUGCUGGCACGGAGUUAGCCGAUGCUGAUUCCUCUGGUACCGUCAGGUUGCUUUCACAACUUUCUUCCCAGAGAAAAGGGU